AACGCACAUUGCGCCCUUUGGCAUUCCGAAGGGCAUGCCUGUUCGAGCGUCAUUAUCCUCCCUCAAACCCCCGGGUUUGGUGUUGGACCGCGUUGGGGGGUCUCCCCCAACUGGUCUCAAAGACAAUGACGGCGUCCGUGGGACCCUCUUCGCACUGAGCUUUCCGGAGCACGCGUCGAGUCGCAAGGUCUCGUGGGCCCGGUCCUCCUUUAUCUAUUUUUCAGGUUGACCUCGGAUCAGGUAGGAAUACCCGCUGAACUUAA
rnacentral:misc_RNA from 1 species